rnacentral:lncRNA from 1 species
CCUCAAUUUUUCUCCUUCUCCUCCCAACCCCUACCAACAGCCCCACCCAAGCCUCGCCAGCCACCACCUCCCUCUAACCCAACCACCCAAAACCGCCAAACCCCAUGCUCCUGUGCUUGUUUGUUCACGUGACCUACAUGUGACACCAUGAUCACCAUCAGAUUACACCUCCCAAUUCAAUUGCUUGCAUAAUAUAUUCAAAUCCAAAAGCAUCUCAAGACAAUGUUUUGAUCAUAGUUCAUAUUGAAGUACCAGAAGAAGUGGAGCUGAUCUUGGAUUUGUAAUUGAGAAACGCGGUCUCAAGUGCAAAGAUGGGAGGAGGUGGGGUUGAGUCUGAAAGGGAAUGCCAAAUUGAAUUGGGGGAGAGAGAUUUUGGCUGAGAAAAGAAGAAUAAGGGAUUUCGGGAGAGGGAAAGUGGUAAAUGAAGAGGAUUGGGAAGACAUUGCGGCCUAGCACAUAUGCUUCUCUUGGCACGAUGCCUUCAAGGCUUAUAACUAGGGUUGGGUGUGGUCCGAUUGGGUAAGGUGUUCACCUCAAAUUGAAAUCGGAACCAGUACUAUUUAACCGGUCAAGUUCGGUUGGUUUUAGUGAAAUUUUUUUUUGAAACAGCGGUCCAGUUUGAACCGGUUCUUGUUCGAUUUCUGUUUUUUGG